rnacentral:lncRNA from 7 species
AGCUACUCUUCUGGAGGACACCUGAAAGACCUCUCAGGACCACACUGUCCCUUCUCCACUGUUACAACACUAACAGAGAGCAAGCCAUUAACUUAGCAGCAUGGCUUCUAAGAGUCCUCUACAUACUGCCUAAUGGUUCUUCAGCUACAUGUUGACUGCUCGUGGAUCCUGAGGAACCUGCAGGAUGCUGGGACAGCCUUUGACCAGGAAGAUUUCCCCAUCUCUCCCCAAUGUCUUCCAGGCAAGCGAGAGAGGAGCUUAAUUCAUUUGAAGAAGCACCAAGUGUUUAAGACCCUUCCCUUUCGUAGUCCUAUUUCCGACGUCCCACUUCGUAUAAUCUGGACUCUAUUUUCAGUCUUUUUGUCUGCUCUGCUGUUCAUUUUGAACAGAAGAGCAAUGGGAGAACUGAGAUUUCCAGAGGAGGGCUUUACCAUGCCAUGCAUCUUUCUGGAACAUCCUCCUUGGACACUCAGCAUGUCCUGGUCAAUUGCAGAGCGGUCCUUCAGGCAACCACGGUACACAGUGCUGAGCUGUGAGGGCUGGGAAUGCCUUUUUUUGAAAGACCAAAAUUCCUUCCAUAGGACACUGAGAAGCCUAAAGAAGAUGGCAUCCAGCAAGCCAUGGACUGCACAUGGAGGAAGACUUCUUUGGCGUGUGUGAAAAGGCUGUUUCACGGCCAAGGAGCUAUAGAGAUUUCCAGUGAUGCACAGCACAGUCCCUCCUGGAGGUAGACAAGCAAACCCUGCCUUCCGGAACUAGAGGUUUCUCUCUUUGGGACACCAGCAUCUCGUAUGUCAGCCUAGGAGAUGCAAAGACUAUAAGCUCACAGCAUGGGAGAAUGAGAGCCAGGAGAGCCGAGAGUGGCGUUCCCACCCAUGACCGCCGCGGAGCACAGCCUGACGCAGGGAUGGGAGACCCAAAGGGAUGCUGCGGUGCUGCAAAAAACAAGUGUGUAUGAUCUCCAAGUGGAAAACUUCUCUAAAAAUAAAUGGAUUACCCUUGCUCUGACGCUGUCUGAUGUCUGCGGAGCAGAUACCGCCGCUCGCCUGUGAUCUCCCACCCACCACAAUCGGGGUGACAGGCGUUGAGGAACAGUGGGCCUUGCGGAGCGCUAAUUACGGAUGAAACCAGUCUAAGCCUUUAAAAGAAAAGAAGGACGUACAGGAGGAAAUCCACAGCAUUUGACUGGACCUGCAGUUCCAAUUCAGGAAAACUGGUUAUUUACUGUAUAAUAACCUGAAGAGUGGCAGAAGUUCCUCAUAAUGGUGAGAAGGAUAAUUAAAUAUUUCUUCCUGGUGUCUGC